AAUAAAUACAGUUUUGUAUUAUUUAUCCCCAACGUUUGAUCGUUCGUCUUAUUUAAAAAAAUUUAUGAUUACUAUUUUUAUUGUUAUUAGAUGAUAAAAUAUAAAAAGUACUUUAUGUAUGACUAAUUUUUUUAAAUUUUUUUCAUAAAUUUUUUAAAUAAGACGGACAGUCAAAUAUUGGACACGGAUUUUUACGGCUGCACUUAUU
rfam:Oryza rufipogon genomic scaffold, chr07